ensembl:snRNA U2 U2 spliceosomal RNA
AUUUCUGUACAAUGUAUGGUUGUCGGUUUGUCAAAUAAUAAAUCUGCUCUUAUCAGUUUAUAUCUGAUACAUCUGGGGACCAUGUAUUAAAUUCAUUUAUGGAACAGAGAGAUGGAAUAGGGGCUUGCUCUGUCCACUCCAUGCAUCAACCUGGUAUUGCAGUACCUCCAGGAGCAGGGCAUCUUCU